AUGAGGACUCCUAUAGAGGAGCGGUGUUGCGCCAGCGCCCUCACAAUUGCUGGAGAUUAUUUGCAACACGGACACGUUUGCUCCUGUCUCCUCAUUUUUUCCUGUGUUUACAGCUUCAAAUGGAGGACACACCAAAAACACUGGUGGCUUUACUACUUGAUGAAAAGGAGAUAUGCAAAAAAUUGCAGCAUCUCAAGAGUGCAGCAGAAAUAAUUGAUGCUUCCCAAUGUCUCCUCCCCUGUGCUGCAGAGUACCACCGAAUUUUAAAAUCUUAACACUGAUUUUAAUGAAUUUAUUGACACCGACCUAACUGAGAAAGUGGAAACCUUGGACAAGUUUUGUUUAAGUCGAUUAAGAGAAGUGGAUCAGGAUCACAUGCAUUGGUAUGUAAUUUCCCUUUUCAGUAACAUAACUAAUAAUAAGUGACCUGUGUGUCAUGCAUACAGAUUCCAGUAUUAUUGUACUUUUCUUAAACAUGAAAUAUUAAUAUUGCUUUUCAAUUUUGAGCAUGGUAAGAAACCGUUCAAGUGGCAUUUCCAUUCAAACAUGUGGGAUGAUAGUAGUAGAUAUACGAUAGCUUAUGUCAUGAUGAUUUAUGACUUUGACCUUUGACCUUUUGACAGGUUGAACUUCCGGUAACCUUAUGAUGGAUGGGCGGAACAAAUGAGAUCAAGGGUUAACCUAUGACCUUUCCAUGCAUCGAUCAUGUGGUUUUGACAGAAAGUUUUACCCUAUUGACCUAAUUAGUUCUAAAUCAUGGUUUUGACGGCUAGUUUAAACGGAAGAUGAAAGACUCCUCACGCAUCGAUCAUGUGCUUUUGACAUAAAGUUUUACCCUAUUGACCUGUUAGUUCUAAAUUAAAACGGUAUAUGAAAGACUCCCCAAUCAUCGAUCAUGCGGUUUUGACAGAAGUUGUUUGAAGUUGUGUCAGUUAGUUUGUUUGAAGUUUGUGCCAGUUGUUUGAACUCUGUGUCAGUUAGCUUGUUUGAAGUUUAUCACAGUUAUACGGUUAUGUGUGUGUGUGUGGUUAUACGGCUUCUCCCCCUCCCAUUACAUUUAUGAGCGGUGUAUAAAUGGGGUCGGUGUGUUCUACAUUUUAUAUAUAUAUAUAUAUAUAUACAUUCUAUAAUUUAUAUAUAUAAAACAAUUAAAGGUUGAAAAACAUUUCAGUUAUAUAAUUUAUAUAAUCUAAAACACAUUUUAAUUAUUU
rnacentral:lncRNA from 1 species